rnacentral:lncRNA from 1 species
UGCACGGUGGUUUUAUGGGCCGAAUGCUCACUAAACUGACUUAUUCUUCCCGGUAACCUGCAUACAGACCUCCCAGGCCCUGGCGUGAAGGUGGCACUGUGACUAGCUCUUGCCGAUGGAAUGGGAGGAGUCAGUUAGAAAUUUUCAUAUGGUCAAAAUACCCAUGGAAUAUAUGAGUGGCAGCAGUAAACAAUCCUUGAAGUUCUUGCUUGUUUAACUUGACUGUUGGUGAUGCCCAAUGAGGCCCUGUCUGCUCCAAGCAAAUUACAUAAAAAAGAUGUGAAUAAAAACUCAUCAAAUACUAACAGAGACUGUGUCUAAGAUGCCAAUUGAAGACUGGAACAGCCAUAUGAGUGUGGGGUAUUCCUGGAAACCUGUUCUAGUAGGCACUGGAGAAGACACAGGAACCUCUCAAUACAGAAUAGACACACUUUGCACUCAGUAAUAAUGCACUAAUUGACGAAUAUAUUGACGGAGUGUUGGUUUGCUUCACAAUCUGCUGGUAAACAUAUUCAUUUUUGGGUGAAUUUCAGGCCUUA